GGAAAGUUCACUAAGCCAAUUGCAUGCCUUUCACAGUGGUGGGCAUGUACUUCCCAAUUAGUCCCACUGAGCCAGCAAGACUGUUUGCCUGAGAGCCUUCAUCACUGAAAAACAAAACAAAACAAACAAAAAACCAAAACAAAAUAAAAACAAACAAACAAACAAAAAACAACCCAAAGAGGAUCACAGUCUGGCACUUUGCAAUUAGCACAACAUUGUCAGGGUUUCACUUUCCUGCUUAAAUCCUGUAAUGAGCAGCCAUUGGAAAAGGAGGCAAAGGUUGGCAUACAUGUCAAGAGAACAUUCUCCAGCUGGGGCCUGCAGUAUAGAGAAUUGUAUACUCCAGAGGGCUCAUGGGACCUUAGGCAGAUUAUUAUGGUAAUAUUGGAGACUGCUGUCCUUUCCCUCCCACAGCUGGGCCGCCUCUCUCAUUCAAGAACACCUGAGUCAAAGUCCAGGAUCUGAGCCUACCUUCCUGGAAGUCUGUCCUUUAAAAACAGCAGGAUUGAAGGGAGAGUGUUUUC
rnacentral:lncRNA from 1 species